AAAUAAAAGUAAUAAAAAAUAUUAGACUAUUAAUAGUUAUGUUCUUAAAAUUUAAAAAAUUUGGCGGUAUUUUUUCUAAUCAGAGGAACUUGUUUUAUAAUUGAUAAUCCUCAUUAAAUCUUACUUAAUAUUUUAAAAUUUGUAUACCGUCGUCAUCAGAAUAUCUAAAAAAAGAAAAAAUUUUCUAAAAUUUUUAUUAUAAAUUAUGUCAGAUCAAGGUGCAGUUUAUAAUUAAGAAAAAAUUAGUUACAAUAAAUUUAUUUAAGUGGAUAUAAAAUUGAAAUAUUUUAUUGAAAUUGGAUUUGAAAGUAAGUUUAUAUAUUAAAAUAAAUUGGUUAAGUUCAAAAAUAUGC
rnacentral:rRNA from 1 species